rnacentral:rRNA from 1 species
AUUGAACGCUGGCGGCAGGCUUAACACAUGCAAGUCGAGCGAGCGGCGGACGGGUGAGUAAUGUCUGGGAAACUGCCUGAUGGAGGGGGAUAACUACUGGAAACGGUAGCUAAUACCGCAUACAAUCAGAUGUGCCCAGAUGGGAUUAGCUAGUAGGUGGGGUAAGGUGUCACCUAGGCGACGAUCCCUAGGUGGUCUGAGAGGAGGACAAGCCACCCUGGAACGGAGACUCGUCCCAGACUCCUACGGGAGGCAGCAGUGGGUAAUCGUGCACAAUGGGCGCAAGCCUGAUGCAGCCAUGCCUCGUGUGUGAAGAAGGCCUUCGGGUUGUAAAGCACUUUCGGCGAGGAGGCGUUACUCACAGAAGAAGCACCGGCUAACUCCGUGCCAGCAGCCGCGGUAAUUC